rnacentral:tRNA from 4 species
GCGCUAGUGGCUCAACUGGAUAGAGCAUCAGACUUCGGAUCUGAGGGUUAGGGGUUCGAGUCCUCUCUGGCGUACCA